rnacentral:rRNA from 1 species
AAGCGACCUCAGUUCGGAUUGAAGGCUGAAAUUCGCCUUCAUGAAGUCGGAAUUGCUAGUAAUGGCAGGUCAGCAUACUGCCGUGAAUACGUUCCCGGGCCUUGUACACACCGCCCGUCACACCAUGAGAGUUGGAGAUACCCGAAGCCUAUGAGCUAACUUUAGAGGCAGUAGUCGAAGGUAGAAUCAAUGAUUGGGGUGAAGUCGUAACAAGGUAAC